UACGUAGGGUGCGAGCGUUAAUCGGAAUUACUGGGCGUAAAGCGUGCGCAGGCGGUGAGCUGUGUCCGAUGUGAAAGCCCCCGGGCUUAACCUGGGGAAUGGCAUUGGAAACUGGCUCGCUGGAGUGUGGCAGAGGGGGGUGGAAUUCCGCGUGUAGCAGUGAAAUGCGUAGAGAUGCGGAGGAACACCGAUGGCGAAGGCAGCCCCCUGGGCUAACACUGACGCCUCAGGCACGAAAGCGUGGGGAGCAAACAGG
rnacentral:rRNA from 1 species